GAACGGCAGCACGGGAGCUUGCUCCUGGUGGCGAGUGGCGAACGGGUGAGUAAUGCGUCGGAACGUACCGAGUAAUGGGGGAUAACGCACCGAAAGGUGUGCUAAUACCGCAUACGCCCUGAGGGGGAAAGUGGGGGAUCGUAAGACCUCACGUUAUUCGAGCGGCCGACGUCUGAUUAGCUAGUUGGUGGGGUAAUGGCUCACCAAGGCGACGAUCAGUAGCGGGUCUGAGAGGAUGAUCCGCCACACUGGAACUGAGACACGGUCCAGACUCCUACGGGAGGCAGCAGUAGGGAAUUUUGGACAAUGGGGGCAACCCUGAUCCAGCCAUUCCGCGUGAGUGAGGAAGGCCUUCGGGUUGUAAGGNUCUUUCAGCUGGAACGAAACGGUACGCACUAAUAUUGUGUGCUAAUGACGGUACCGGCAGAAGAAGCACCGGCUAACUACGUGCCAGCAGCCGCGGUAAUACGUAGGGUGCGAGCGUUAAUCGGAAUUACUGGGCGUAAAGCGUGCGCAGGCGGAUUGUUAAGCAAGAUGUGAAAUCCCCGGGCUUAACCUGGGAAUGGCAUUUUGAACUGGCAGUCUAGAGUGUGUCAGAGGGGGGUGGAAUUCCACGUGUAGCAGUGAAAUGCGUAGAUAUGUGGAGGACACCAAUGGCGAAGGCAGCCCCCUGGGNAUAGCACUGACGCUCAUGUACAAAAGCGUGGGUAGCAAACAGGAUUAGAUACCCUGGUAGUCACGCCCUAAACGAUGUCACUGGGUUGUUGGGGGAGUGAAAUCCCUUAGUACNAAGCUACG
rnacentral:rRNA from 1 species